UGUUUCCGUAGGUGAACCUGCGGAAGGAUCAUUACCGAAAAAACCUUACUAUCCUUUUACACACACCUGAAGCGGUAGUCAGGCACUGUCCUGCGACACCGGGUCGUUUCAAGUGGUGUUUGUCGAUUCCUAAUGACAGGCAUCGAAACUUGGCGACCUUAAAUCUUGUCUAUUAUUUGAGAUGAGGUGCCUACCUCACAGGUCCGUCCUGUGGGAAAGUCUUGCAGUCUGACGAGUUGUUUAGCAUAAUGUUCCUCAGUGGGUUUGCAUUGGUGCAGUAGCGUGUUCCGCAGUUAUAUUGCCUUAUGAUCGGUUGAAUUAUUGACUUCACUUAUGUGUAACUGAUCAGUGUUUUUUGGCAUUAUAGUUGAGGGCUUGCUGUGUUUUUGCGCCUAUUCUAUGCAUACUUGUGUUUCUGCGGGAUGAUUUUGUUAUCGCUUGUUGACUUCAUUGGCUAGGCUUAAAUAGGCGGAUUUUCUAGCUAUCUUGUAAUGGAUAGUUUAUCUGUCUACCUCAGUGAAUGCCUUCCGGGCAAUCACGCGGGUACCUAUUCUGUUGUGUUUUUUCAGCUCAUGGCUUGAACUGAUUAUAAAGAGUAGUGCUUUUGACGUGCAAUAUACAUAUGUUGUUUUGCUUGUCGUUAGCGCAAGGUGUAAUGAGUAUGCUUGGCUCCUUUGUAAGCCAGUGCAGACCGCCCGUAUUAUGGUUUGUUAACACUGUUAUUUCUGGCCGCAAGUGUUGAGUGAUCGACUCUUGUAGGUCCCUGUACUCCUGUCAGUUUAUGUGAAAUGCCAACGCCGUUUGACUCAUGUAAGUUGGUGGGAUGUGCAGGCAGUCAGCGUUCGAGGCCUUUCUCGAAUUGUUGGCAAAACCGGCGUUGAAGCGGUUUCUCGUAUGUGUUUCUCGAUCUACUUAUUGGUAGGUCGAUAUACGCGCAAAUCUGCUUCUUGCCACGAUGUAUAAUUCUAAGCGGUGGAUCACUCGGCUCGUGUGUCGAUGAAGAGCGCAGCCAACUGUGUGAAUUAUUGUGAAUUGCAAACUGCCUUGAACAUCGACUUCUUGAACGCAAAUUGCGGCAUUAGGCCAUGCCUGAUGCCACGCCUAUCCGAGAGUCGGCAUAGUAUUAAUCGCGACGCUGAAUUGGUCGCGGAUUGGUUUGUUGUCAACCGUCGUGUUUGUCUAUUCAACACGUUGCAUGUUGGUAAGACGGCGGAGUGUGUGACGCUUACCUAACCUAUUGGAGAGUGCGUGUAUAUCUGCAUAGUCUGCCAGUAGCCUUUCUCGUCAGUCGAGCUUUUACACAUCUGCAAUGAAUUUUCUUGAUAGCCGUAGAUGUGGAUAGCAGUUAUGACGUUGACUGUGCGUGUUUUCUGGUUGACAUUCACUAGUUAGGUUGUGGGCUUUUAAUUUAUCGUUUAUGACUGCAAUGUGAUGCUUUUCAUAAAUGCGGUUCUCCUGCGCCUAAAGGCCUUUGGUUGUGCAGUGACCAGUGUUUCUUAAGUGUGUGCACUUGCGUGCAAGGUCGCAGCAUAAUGUGUUUGCGACGCUGUCUAAGCUUGUGUAAUUCAUUUAAUCUGUGUUGCUGCCGUUGGCCCGAGGGUGAAUUUGUAAUCCUAAGGGAGUUCGCUUGCCCACGCCUAGCUUAUACUGCAACUCUUGUUCAGAUGUGUAUGUCGGUGGCACAAGUAUUCCUGGGGAGUGCUGUGUUUUGUGCUGCCUGACCUCGGAUUAGGCGUGAUUACCCGCUGAACUUAAGCAUAUA
rnacentral:rRNA from 1 species